AUACUUACCUGGCAGGGGAGAUACCAUGAUCAUGAAGGUGGUUUUCCCAGCACGAGGCUUAGCCAUUGUACUCUGGAUGUGCUGACCCCUGAGAUUUCCCCAAAUGAGGGAAGCGACUGCAUAAUUUGUGGUAGUGGGGGACUGCGCCCGCUCUCCCCUG